rnacentral:tRNA from 1 species
GCCCCGGUAGCUCAGCGGUAGAGCGGCCGCCUUGUAAGCGGCAGGUCGCGGGUUCGACCCCCGCCCGGGGCU